GUCCAGGAUAGUCUAGUGGACAUGGCAUCUGCCCUGGAACAUUGUGGGUUCGAUUCCCAUCCCUGGACA